rnacentral:rRNA from 1 species
AGUGAACGCUGGCGGCGUGCUUAAUGCAUGCAAGUCGAGCGAACAGAUGAGAAGCUUGCUUCUCUGAUGUUAGCGGCGGACGGGUGAGUAACACGUGGGUAACCUACCUAUAAGACUGGGAUAACUCCGGGAAACCGGGGCUAAUACCGGAUAAUAUUUUGAACCGCAUGGUUCAAUAGUGAAAGACGGUUUCGGCUGUCACUUAUAGAUGGACCCGCGCCGUAUUAGCUAGUUGGUAAGGUAACGGCUUACCAAGGCGACGAUACGUAGCCGACCUGAGAGGGUGAUCGGCCACACUGGAACUGAGACACGGUCCAGACUCCUACGGGAGGCAGCAGUAGGGAAUCUUCCGCAAUGGGCGAAAGCCUGACGGAGCAACGCCGCGUGAGUGAUGAAGGUCUUCGGAUCGUAAAAUUCUGUUGUUAGGGAAGAACAAAUUUGUUAGUAACUGAACAAGUCUUGACGGUACCUAACCAGAAAGCCACGGCUAACUACGUGCCAGCCGCCGCGGUAA